AAUGAACGUUGGCGGCGUGGAUUAGGCAUGCAAGUCGAGCGUACCCAGCAAUGGGGAAGCGGCAAACGGGGUAGUAAUGCGUCGGUACGUGCCCUCGGGACGAGGAUAGCCACGGGAAACUGUGGGUAAUACUCGAUGAUCUCGCGAGAGCAAAGGUGUGACUCCGCCGGAGGAGCGGCUGACGUGGUAUUAGGUAGUUGGUAGGGUAAUGGCCUACCAAGCCUGGGAUGCCUAGGGGGUGUGAGAGCAUGGCCCCCCACCAUUGGGACGUGAGAAACUAGCCCACGACACCUACGGGUGGGCUGCAGUCGAGGAUCUUCGGCGAAUGGGCGGCAAGCCUGACCGAGCGACGCCGCGUGCGGGA
rnacentral:rRNA from 1 species